GACGGUUGUACAGAUGUUAGUGUGAAGUGUGAGGUGUCGAUCAGAUGCUGCCGGCGAGGAGCGGCGACGUCUCCGUCCGCCCGCGGGAUGAAGCGGGGCGGUGAUGAUGCGAGUCGUAAAGAUGGUUGCUCUGAAGUUGCGCCUCGGCUCGUAGAUUGAUCUUCUGCGGAGACACACACACACACACGUGAGACGCGUUCAGAAGGUGUGUAUCGUCAGAUGUGAGGUGCCUUACCUUGAAGUCUCGUAUGUAGGUGAGGAAGAAGCUGACGAAGGACAGCGCGAGAGACCACUCAGAGAUGGUGCUGACGAUGUGCGGCGUGAACCCCUGAAAACGACAAAAACACUCGAGAACCGGAAUCGAAGACUUGUU